GUCCAUGCCGUAAACGAUGUCUACUAGCCGUUGGGGUCUUUGAGACUUUAGUGGCGCAGCUAACGCGAUAAGUAGACCGCCUGGGGAGUACGGUCGCAAGACUAAAACUCAAAUGAAUUGACGGGGGCCCGCACAAGCGGUGGAGCAUGUGGUUUAAUUCGAUGCAACGCGAAGAACCUUACCUGGUCUUGACAUAGUAAGAACUUUCCAGAGAUGGAUUGGUGCCUUCGGGAGCUUACAUACAGGUGCUGCAUGGCU
rnacentral:rRNA from 1 species